GGGGGCUGAAAUGAACUCUGUGAGGAUUCUUAGCUUUGGUGGUUUAAUGCUCUAUUUUUGUGCUUGUUGGCCUCCUGCCAGGUGGCGGCGCUUUCCGGAGAGCAUCAGCUGUGGUAACAUGGAGAGAAACCAGAGAGUGGGUGGGGCUUUAGAACUUCCAAGACAGAGGCUCUGGAAGCCUCUGUCUUCAGCUACCAGAGUGGGUAGGGAAGGACCAUCAAGUGGGGGCAGGGCUAGGUGUGUCUGAGCUCAGACUCUCCUUGGGUGAGUCUUGCUGUGGCUGCUGUGGGGGAGGGGGGGGUGAGGUUCCCAGGUGAAUAGAGUUGUGUACCUAGGAGGAUAAUGGCUGCCUCUGCUGAGUCAUGCAGGUUGUUAGGGAAGUGAGGGAAAGCUGGCAGUCACAGGCCUCACCCAGCUCCCAUGCAAUCCAAAUGGCCAGUCUCACUCUCACCAUGCCCCCUCUAAAGCAUUGAGUCUGUUUCCAAGCAGUGGGUAAGCAGGGGUGAGAACUUGCCGCAGGCUACCCACCUCCCAGCUGUGAAAGAAAAGGGCUUUCGUUCUUCCCCCACCUGUGGAGUCUACACGCUGGAUUUGUGCCCUCCCUUGAGUUCUGGCCAGGAGGCUUCUCCACCUGUUCAAAUUGUUAUAAAGUUCAGCUGGAGACUUCCUUCUCUCCGUGGCAUUUUCCUCAUGCCUCUGGCCACCCUCCCAAAGGAUCCCUGUGAGGCCAGGCAGGAAUGGCCUGCUUGGGGACCCAGCAAGCUUCUAGGGCCUUUGCUGCUGCUUCCUCUACCCCUGUAUUUCGCUCGGCUCUCUAAAUGGACUCAGCUCCAGAUGAGGAAACGGAGAUUCACAAAAAUCAGGUCAUUUGUCUGAGGUCCGAGUACUGUGUGAUAGAGCAAAGAUUUGAACCCAGCUGGAAAAAUCUGAAAUCCUCUGUUAGUAAGGUUAGAAUGAGCGGACACCCUGAACUGUGAAGAGCAUAUUGGACUGGAUGUCCAGGGACCUGGGCUCUAUUUCUCACGCUGACAUGUGAUCCUAGACCCAUCACUUUCAUCUUCUAACUCUCUACUUACAGGUAAAUUGUCUUGUGAUUAUUUCCACAGAACUCUGACUUGGAUAAGUUCCCCAGAGGGCAAGACCAAGCUACCUAAGAUCGGAACCCUCUGAUAAUUUGUGCUGCUAUUUUAAGAUCCAGUUCCAUUCUACAACUGGCUGAAGCAUGAAGUCAACUAAAAUAAACUGAAUUGAGUGGAACUGAACUGAACUGAAGUGAAAUAAUGUGAUUUCCAGUAAACCUGACACCUUAAGGACAGAACAUGAGCCUUGCCCAUCUUCCUCCCAGAGGUCCCAGCACAAUCACCGACUCACACAAUACUCUCAGUGCAUGAGUGAUGAAUUUCACUAACAGCGACCCAUCUCUCUACAUAAUCCACUCCGGUUUCACCAGAGCUGAGAGUAUCAUGAAUUACAUCUAUAGAUAGCUGUAAGCUAAUGACCAAAGCACAUAACUGAAUUCAAACAUAUUCUUUAUUGCAGUCAGAUGUGAGAAAACAAAAUUUAGAAGACAAGCCAGAAAGGAAAUGAAGAACAUAAAGAGCCUGAAUUCUCAUCGUCAAUUUUUCCCUGACUGACUCCGUUUUCCUCUCUUCUUUCCAUUUACCUUUCUGUUCCCAUCCCCAUCAUUUUUGUAGUGUUUAUUGAGUGUCUGCUGCAUGCCAGUCAAUGUGCUGAGUACUUUUCAUGUGUUAUACCAUUUGAUCGUCACAGCAGCACACUAUUAUAAUUAUGAAUAUGAUUCCACAUACUAUAUCUAAAAUUUAACUUAAUUUUACAUAGGAGGAAGCUGAGACUUGCCCAAGACUACUCCAUUAGUAAGAUGUGAACCAAGUGAACCAUGUCUGACUCAAACCUAACCCCUGAUUCUCUGAAUCCAUAUCACCGUAGAACUCAACAGUGAAAUAUUGGGGUAGAGGUAAUGCUAUUAGUACACAAACUAUGCACAGAUUUACAAGCAACUAAACAGGAACUCAUGGCCAGGCACAAUGGUUCAUGCCUGUAAUUCCAGCACUUUGGGAGGCCAAGGUGGGCAGAUCACCUGAAAUCAGGAGUUCAAGAUCAGUGUGGCCAACAUGACAAAACCCCAUCUCUACUAAAAAUACAAAAAUUAGCUGGGUGUGGUGGCACAUGCCUGUAAUCCCAGCUACUCAGCAGGCUAAGGCAGGAGAAUUGCUUGAACCUGGGAAGGAGAGGUUGCAGUGAGCCGAGAUCACAUCACUGCACUCCAGCCUGGGUGACAGAGCAAAACUCUAUCUUAAAUGAAUAAAUAAAUAAAAAUGAAAAAAACAAACAAAUGAAAGAAAGUCACGAGCACAACUUCUGACUCCCCCUCCAUCUUUUCCAUUGUUCCCUGUCUCUCUGCUUAAAAACAAUCCGAGUGACUCUCACUUUUUCCUUGUGUCUCCCACCCAUCUACCCUACUCUUGCUCUACACAGUUAAGGAUUGUUUUGAAAUUCUAUGGGGAAAAAUUAUAAAAUUUAUAAUCCCAAAGAGUCCAUCCAAUUGUCUGUAACAAGAUUUAAAGCUUAGUAUUAUCUCAACCCAAAAUUUGACAAAUGACAGUUUCCUUGUUGCUUGUACACACGUCACUCCAACAGCUGAAAAGCCAGGAUAGAUGUUUGCCAGUAACUUCCUUGCAGAGGCCUUAAUAAACUUAAGCAUGAUAUAUACCAAUAACCUAAUAAAUAUAUUGAGGGUUUCUUCUUAGCCAUAUCCUUGAUAUAAAGUGACAUCUGAGUUUUAUGACGUUUAAGGUUUUUGCCUUUUCUUCUGUCUUGGUGGCUAUUAACUGAGCACAUUUCUAUUUGUGAAUCAUAAGCUAAUGUAUUUACAUUUAGGAACAGAAAAUCAUGUCACUUGAUAAGUAUGCAGGUGUCAUAAGCUCCAGAGCACCAGCAAAAGAUGCAGGUGCUGACCACUUUGUUUCAUGUCAAAAUUCACUGUCUGAAGAUGCUCUGUGACCAUGAGGCUCAUCAAACACUCAACAUUCAAAAGAACUCUUACCACAUUCACACAGCAAAUCAGCAAAUCAUUUUUAAUCAUAAAUCAUCUUUGUUUGAAAACAAUUUACUCACUUGAAUUCUAGGUAACAUUCUAGGUUAUGUGUUCAUUUAGAUGUUCUUCUUUUCCAUGGAAAUCAAUUAAAAACAAAUGCACCAUCUUGGGAGAUGAGCUUAAAAGAUUAAUGUCAGACUUUUUGAAAAAACAAUUACUUGGGCAGAAUUAUGAAUGAACAACGUGUGACGUUUUUGUCAUUUUUUUUUUUUGGUUCUUUUAUUCUGCAUAUUUCAGUUUGGCUUUUAAUUUCAUCAAAAUUAUAGAUGCACAUAAUUCUUUUAAGCAUAGUAGGAAGACCAUGGGCUUCCUAAUGUGCUUAAAACAGGGUCCUCACACCUUGUCCAAUAUAUCCGAGAUUUCUCCCCUUUCUAGAGAAAACUACUUUAAAUUCUGAUAGAUUUUUUGUUGCUGUUGCUCAUAGUUACUUCCAUAACUCUAAAUAGCUCAUGCUGUUACUUUUAAUAUUUCUAUUUUGAGGCUAUCUAAUGGGUUCUCUCUAUGGAAAAUCAAGAUUCACUCUCAUUCACUCUCCCUCAACCUGACUGACCCCCAAGUAUCAUCUUCAUUAGUUUAGUUAGAUUACUAUACAGUAUUUACCUUAUUAUAGUUAGGUCAAUGCUGGGUCACAUAUUAAUCUAUAAUAACUUUUCCUUUUUAUGAGCAAUAUUUUGGUUUUACUUGAAGUUAAUCAUCACACUUGUGUUUGCUUAGUUGUGCAAAUGUCUGUCACUAACUUUGCAAACUUUUCCUCCAGUGUCUAAGCUUCACACAUGAGCUAAUUUUAUUGAUUGCAUCUUUAUUUCAUCUCUGGUGACAUCUGACCUGUUCUAGUCUGGACAGGUUUCUUCCCAGUCCCCAGCUGGCUCUUUCUUAACCACCAACUUGGGUUUGGAUUUCCUAUAACUGGAUCCUGUGUCUUUAUUGCUAGUUUAGUUCAUAGUUUUGGUGGAGCAUAUUCUCAAGACCAUCCAUGUGUGGAGAACUAAUUUGACAAAGACUUGAUGUGAACAUGUCUCUAUUUUCUAAUGUAAAUCAUUUUCCCUUGGGAUAUCAAAAGUUUACUGCAUUGACUUCUUCCCUCUAGUAUUGUUUUUGAGGCAUCUAAAGCCAAUCUGAUUCCUGAUCCUUCAGAAGAACCUCCUGCUGCUUUGGGGAGAAGGAGGUUCCUCUACCUGGUAGCUUUUGGGUACUCCUCUUUGCCCCCAUGGCUGAAAUUCACAAUGAAGUGCUUGGUGUGGUUUUAUUUUUAUAGGUUAUGCUGUACACUCAAUAGGUCCUUAUAUAGGAAAAAAACAAAAAAUAAAUAACAAAAAAAACAACAACACUGUUUUCUUCUUGAUACGUCACUUUCAAUGCAUCUGACAAGAGACAGGGGAGGAGUGUUACCACACCAAGCAAUUCUCCACUUCUUGGCAGACACCAACUGGGUGCCCCCCAGUUCAAUUCAACUCUGACACUAACAGAAUCAAUGUAGGCCCCAAAGUUUAAAGGUUCAGUCCCACAAGACUGCCCCACACUUUGCAGGCCAGUUGCAAACAGUAGGUUCCCAGAUUACCCACAACUUCUGUCCUACUUGGCUACAAACCAGAGUUUCCCACACCCAACUCUGUGGGUUUGACAAUUUGCUAGAGUGGCUUAUAGAACUCAGAAAAGCACUUUGCUGUUAUCAGUUUAUUAUAAAAAGAUACAGCUCAGUAACAGCCAGAUGAAGAGAUGCCUAAGUUAAGAUAUGAGGGAAGGGGCACGCAGGCUCCAUGCCCUCCAUGGGUGAGCCACCCUUCCAGGACCCCCACACGUUGAGAAAUCUGGAAGCUCCCCAAACACAGUCUUCUUGGGGUUUUAUGGAGGCUCCAUUUAGCAGGCAGGAUUGAUUAAAUCAUUGGCUGUUUGUGAUGUUCAUCUCCAGCCCUCUCUCCACUGGUGGAAGGUUGAAGGGUGUGGCUGGAUGUUCCAACCCUCUAAUCAUUUGCUUAGUUCCUCUGACAAGCAGCCUCGUCCAGUGCCUGUCCAGGAGUCUCCAGCCACCAGUCAUCUCAUUAGCAUACUAAAAGAUGCUUAUCAUGUCAGAGGUUCCAAGGGUUUUAGGAGCUACAUGCCAUAAAAUCAAAUAUUUAGUGGAAGACUAAUAUGGUUUGGCUAUGUCCCCACCAAAAUUUCAUCUUGAAUUGUAGCUCCCAUAAUUCCCACGUGUCAUGGGAGAGACCAGGUGGGAGGUAAUUUAAUCAUGGGGGCAGGUCUUUCCCAUGCUGUUCUCAUGAUAGCGAAUAAGUCCCAUGAGAUCUGAUGGUUUUAUAAAUGGGAGCUCUUCUGCACAAACUCUCGUCUGCCACCAUGUAAGAUGUCACUUUGCUCUUCCUUCAUCUUCUACCAUGAUUGUGAGGCCUCCCCAGCCAUGUGGAAUUGUGAAUCCAUUAAUCUUCUUUCCUUUAUAAAUUACCCAAUCUCAAGUAUGUCUGUAUUAGCAGCAUGAGAACAGACUAAUACAAAGACCAAAAUAUAUAUUUCUUAUUAUAUCACAGUAGCACAGCCCUCUUAAUGUACAAACUCAUUUUCUACAAUUCUGGCUAAUUUCUUGAAUUUUUUUUCUCUAAUAAUUUCUUUUCUCUCUUCUUUUUCCUGUUAUUCAGAUGGAUGUACCUGCUUCUUGAGCUGAAUUCUCACCAAUCCCUCAUUUCUGGUCAUUCUUAACCUUACUCCCAGAUGUGUUUGGUCUACUGCAGCCUUCGGAUCCCUACUAGAGUUUGCCUUAGGAAUCAGCUUUCUCAGACCUGUGUCUGAGAUAAAAUGUCUGGGAUAAAAUGUCAUUUAUCCUGCUUCCUGGAUUCUGAAAUUUGAUGAUUCUGUUCUCCUCUUUCAUCUCUUCUUUCUUAAACCCUUUUUUUUAAAAAAAAAUCCUGUAACUGUCAUUUACUGGAACUUCAGAGAGAAGCAGAGGUUAAUACCUAUGUUCAAUGGAUACAGGAGAUAAAAAGAAAUUAUUUAGGCAGUUAAUGAGGGUAAGAGAGUUCUUGGCAAGGCUUCCCUUUUAACACAAGCAACCCGCCAAAUCAUUUCUUUUCUAACAAAGAGCAGCCGGUAAAAUCAAGCCACAGACACAGAUAAGCAAGCUAGAAGCUUUCACAGGUAAAUGUGGCAACUGUGCCAAUAGAAACACACUACCUAAGGGCCAGGUAUGUUCAACAUGGAGGUUCCCUCUUCCCUUUUGUGGCUACAUAAGUGGUAAAAAAGCAUGGAGCCAGCCAGGUAGAGGCCUCAUCUGCAUAAUAAAAGAUUAGGGUGAGAUGUCCAGCUUCUUCACGCCCUAUGCAAACAGCACACCUGGUCUGACUAAUCUCUUGAUCCCUAUGUAAAUGAGACACCGCCUCCUCAAGCUCCUCUAUGAAAUCCCUUGCAUUUCAGUAGGAAACCAGAAGACCCACUUGGGAGCCCCAUGCUCUCUCUGCAGGAAAGAGAGCUUUUCUUGUCUCUUUUCUCUCGCCUAUUAAACCUCAGCUCUUCAACUCACUUCUUGUGUGUCUGUGUCCUUGAUUUCCUUAGUGUGAGACAACGAACCUCAGAUAUUUACCACAGACAACGUAGCCACUUCACAAUCUUGCAAAUUUUCACCAAGUCCUUUUCAUUAUUAUGUAAGGAGUUGGAACUGACUGAUGAGGGUUUGAUUGUGAUUGCCUCUAGCUCUCCCUGAUAGCAUUUGGAUGAGCUGGACAGAUGUAGGAUUAACAAAGGUCUGUAGGGUGGAGCAAAUAUGUCUCAUUACCAAGGGUAAAAUUUCAAGUGAAGAGGCUCCCAUACUAGAGCAACCACAACAAAACAAAUAACCAUGGAUUUGGGACUGAACACUAGGAAAGAGUGAAUAUAUGUUUUUGAGGUCAGCUGUGCUGAAGGCAAGAGAAGAACAUUGCCAAGUAACUUCCAAAUGUGACAUUUUUCAACCUUGGUUUAUGACUGAAAAGCCAAGAAAGACUAAGCUAAAAUGGAAUUCAGCUUCCCAGCCUAAAUAGUGGGAGAGGUCCAAAAUACAGCUAAGGAAAAUUUUACUGGGAAAGCUAGUUGUAUCCAUUUACUCUGUUCUACACAUAUCAAUUAGAAAUUUUAAAAAGGUAAGUUUGAUCAAGCUUUUAUUCCGACAUUUGAAAA
rnacentral:lncRNA from 10 species